UUCGGGAUAGGGUUGCGUCCUACAUGACGGACUGAUCGGGUGCGUCCGAUCACGUCAGCGAGCCCCGUAUCCUCCAUAUAUUUGACAUAGAUAUGAUGGUUCACGGGUAGUUUGGACGUAGAGGGGUGAUAUAAUGGAUCUGGUUGGGACACUUUUUUUUUAUCCGAUCGCUGACCGGACGCGUCCUUGUAUGAUGUGUCGUUUAAGAUGUCCGGCUAUUGAUGCUUUAAUGUACAAGUUUUGAACGACACCCAGACCAUCAACAUAACCGUUAGUUGCCUAAAUUCAGUGGGUGAGAUCAUUAGGAUUCGCCAUGAACUGUAGACUGCUAAUGCUUCCACUGUGUUCUAGAACAAUCAUGUGAGCCUCCCCUAUAGAAAAAAGAAGUCCAUGUCUGCUGCCUCAGGGCCGAACUGCUGAACUGCUGCUUGAGUGCAUGACAAUUUGAGCCCAAGCGAGAUGGUUUUGGAAAACAGGAAGAAGAGAAAAUAAAGUAACUUGCAUAUUGCUGAAUGGUCAUCGGGGGAUGAGAGAUUCCCACCUGAAUUUUCAUUAUAUUUUCAAUUUUUCAGGGAUUAGAAACCGGGAACAGCGCGUGGGCUACACAACGAGGCAUCACUUGCAAAAUGCAUGCGGAAACGGACGCGAAGUUUUCUAAUUUUUUUAAAAAAGAACAUGUGAAAGUUUAUAAGUCACUGUUGUCUUCAUUCUUACCCCACUAUCUUAUCUAUUAUUUUAUUUAUUCCAACAAUUUUCAGUCUCUUCGACCACUCUAGUUCUAGUCUUGGCACAUGGACCCUAUUUAUAGACGACUCUAUCUCCUCCCUCUACUUUGCUGAGAGCUCAGAGAUUAUAUAUACUCAACAGAUGAUUGUACAUGUGCACACAGUCCACUUCAUGCAUGUGAUUAGGUGGUUGGUUGUCAAUAUAUCGUCAU
rnacentral:lncRNA from 1 species